AUUGAACGCUAGCGGGAUGCCUUACACAUGCAAGUCGAACGGCAGCACGGACUUCGGUCUGGUGGCGAGUGGCGAACGGGUGAGUAAUGUAUCGGAACGUGCCUGGUAGCGGGGGAUAACUACGCGAAAGCGUAGCUAAUACCGCAUACGCCCUACGGGGAAAGCAGGGGAUCGCAAGACCUUGCACUAUUAGAGCGGCC
rnacentral:rRNA from 1 species